rnacentral:rRNA from 1 species
UGGGGAAUAUUGGACAAUGGGCGAAAGCCUGAUCCAGCCUUGCCGCGUGUGUGAUGAAGGCCUUAGGGUUGUAAAGCACUUUCAACGGUGAAGAUAAUGACGGUAGCCGUAGAAGAAGCUCCGGCUAACUUCGUGCCAGCAGCCGCGGUAAUACGAAGGGAGCGAGCGUUGUUCGGAAUCACUGGGCGUAAAGAGUACGUAGGCGGAUUGAUUAGUUAGGGGUGAAAUCCCAGGGCUCAACCCUGGAACUGCCUCUAAUACUGUCAAUCUAGAGAUCGAGAGAGGUGAGUGGAAUUCCUAGUGUAGAGGUGAAAUUCGUAGAUAUUAGGAAGAACACCAGUGGCGAAGGCGGCUCACUGGCUCGAUACUGACGCUGAGGUACGAAAGCGUGGGGAGCAAACAGG